AUACGGAGGCUGCAAGCGUUAAUCGGAAUUACUGGGCGUAAAGCGUACGUAGGCGGUUCGUUAAGUUAGAUGUGAAAGCCCCGGGCUUAACCUGGGAACUGCAUUUAAAACUGGCGAACUAGAGUUGAGUAGAGGGGAGUGGAAUUUCAGGUGUAGCGGUGAAAUGCGUAGAGAUCUGAAGGAACACCAGUGGCGAAGGCGACUCCCUGGACUCGAACUGACGCUGAGGUACGAAAGCGUGGGUAGCAAACGGGAUUAGAAACCCCAGUAGUCC
rnacentral:rRNA from 1 species